GAAGAAAUGAUUUUUUUUCAUUAUUAAUUGGAUUCCGGAAACUUGGUUAAUAAUCAAACUAUUCAAAGUACAAUUCAUAUACACAUUUCGAACAAAUUUGAUUUCGACACUUGCUGGAAGUGCCGUUAUUUCCAGUUAGAGAGGAAUGCAGCGGUUGAACAAACCCCAAGUUCAAUAAAGUCCGAUGAAUAAUUGUUGUGCAAACGUAAGCCGAGUGAUACUUGCCGCCGCUCCAAGAGAAAAGCAAUCUUGUGAUACAAUUAAUAUGUGGAGAG
ensembl:ncRNA F08F1.21 ncRNA